rnacentral:rRNA from 1 species
AGUGAACGCUGGCGGUAGGCCUAACACAUGCAAGUCGAACGGCAGCACAGUAAGAGCUUGCUCUUACGGGUGGCGAGUGGCGGACGGGUGAGGAGUACAUCGGAAUCUACUUUUUCGUGGGGGAUAACGUAGGGAAACUUACGCUAAUACCGCAUACGACCUACGGGUGAAAGCAGGGGAUCUUCGGACCUUGCGCGAUUGAAUGAGCCGAUGUCGGAUUAGCUAGUUGGCGGGGUAAAGGCCCACCAAGGCGACGAUCCGUAGCUGGUCUGAGAGGAUGAUCAGCCACACUGGAACUGAGACACGGUCCAGACUCCUACGGGAGGCAGCAGUGGGGAAUAUUGGACAAUGGGCGCAAGCCUGAUCCAGCCAUACCGCGUGUGUGAAGAAGGCCUUCGGGUUGUAAAGCCCUUUUGUUGGGAAAGAAAAGCAGCAGGUUAAUACCCCGCUGUUCUGACGGUACCCAAAGAAUAAGCACCGGCUAACUUCGUG